GUACAUAGCAGAGGGGCAUUGCUGGCACGUGAUGGCGUAUAUUACCUUGGUGGACGUGCAGCUCUUCCCCAGAGGGGGGCGGGUGAAAGAGCUUGGGGGUACCCCACAGGAAGGAAUUCCCAAGUGUACCUUUCUGGAUUCAAAAAAGGGGUGCUCCUGCCCCGGAGACGGCGCCUAUGCCCUAGACACUGCCAACACACUCUUAUCAACCUCCUGGCUCCAGUCUGUACCCACGGCAUUCCACUCUUCCCCCGUCACAGUCCAGCACUACGGACUCCCAAUACCCACUGCACUCAACACCCAUCCCUCUAUAGUUUGGCCCUGCUGAAGCACAGUACCUGCUGCAGUACAGUACCUGCUGCACUGUAAUCCAAGGGAGAAGGUUGGUUACGAUACCUGGACAUACACAAAUCUUUAGCCAUCCCUGGACCCCACCUCCUCCUGGGACUUUCCCUUCCCCCAUCCCCCUCAGUGCUGAUGUGUUUUUUUUUGUUUGACUCUCCUCUGGUUGUUGUUUUUUAAUAAAAGAAUUGUGUUGGUUUGAAAGCAAUCUUUAGUCUAUUAAUUGAAAGAAAACAGAGUCCUGAAAAGCAACAGACAGUUAUGUUAAACCUUCAUAUUGCAUCGUCUGCACCAAUCAGAAUU